GACGGAGGAUGCAAGCGUUAUCCGGAAUUAUUGGGCGUAAAGCGUCCGCAGGUGGUUAAUCACGUCUGCUGUCAAAAUGCGAGGCUCAACUUCGUAAAGGCAGUGGAAACUGAUGAACUAGAGCAUGGUAGGGGUAGAGGGAAUUCCCGGUGUAGCGGUGAAAUGCGUAGAUAUCGGGAAGAACACCAGUGGCGAAAGCGCUCUACUGGGCCAUGACUGACACUGAGGGACGAAAGCUAGGGGAGCGAAAGGG
rnacentral:rRNA from 1 species